UUUCCGUAGGUGAACCUGCGGAAGGAUCAUUAAUGAAUAUUAGGGCGCCUUUACUUUACUGUAUCGGGCCUGACCUCCAUUAUUCACACUUGUGCACCAAAAUCUAAAUGUUGCAGUGCGAAACGAGAGAGUAAUCUCUCACAGUAGUACUUGCUUCAUUUUUAUUACUAUUAAACUCUAAGUCAAUGAAUGUAACAAACCAUAACAAAAUAAAACUUUCAACAACGGAUCUCUUGGCUCUCGCAUCGAUGAAGAACGCAGC
rnacentral:misc_RNA from 1 species